UGGAACAUAGCUCAGUUGGCAGAGCGAUGGCCUUAUAAGCCAUGUGUCGAAGGUUCGAGUCCUUCUGUUCCGG
rnacentral:tRNA from 1 species